GCGCGAUAUCGGCCUUUCCACUUCCUCCUUCGCGGAGAAGCGCUAGGUGAGGCUGUUCCCAGGUUUUGCGAGUUAACUGGUCAGCUGACCGUGUUAUUGGGAAUGUUCUAUCCUUCAUCGGAUGGAGCGGCUUUCCCUCUCGUAACGUUUUGUGAGGAAGCCCACUCUUCUUUCAAAUGGAAGCACGGUUCGACCACGAGGUGGAAGUCGUCUCCAUAGAAAGGAUGAACAUGCAUAUGAGGGUGACUUGAUAUCAAGGCAACCUAUGAUGGCCACUGACCCAGUAUGAGUCUAAGCAACCCAGUGCUUUCAUGACAUGGUCACCUUUGCCCCUGUUAUGAAGUAAACUGCAGGAUGUGUGCAGGUCGAGUAACCCACUGGGAUAUCUCCGGUGGCACAGUAUUCAGGAUGAGUUUGGAAAUGCAUAACUUGAAAAGCUGGCGCUUAACAGCCUGAUGUGCUCCAUCUUCAUCCUGCUUGACAUCUACUGAAGAGGACUGUCUGCUGAGGUUGUGCAGAUGGCAUGGAGAAAUGCGACCCCCUACCCCAGUACUCCCACUAUACUUGAGUGAUGGCAAAAAGGGACGUUUUCCUAUCUGAAGGCGGAUGACUUUUUGGAUGGUCAACACGUUCAUCUUUCAAGCUUUUUAAAAGACGUUGACCAAAAUACUGUCAAGUUGCCUGUGCCCACAAAGACAAUUGUUAGACUGAGUGGCAACAUGAAAAUAAAGUUUACUCCUGAAG